GACGAACGCUGGCGGCGUGCUUAACACAUGCAAGUCGAACGGAAAGGCCCUGCUUGCAGGGUACUCGCGAGGCGCACGGGUGAGUAUCACGUGGGUGUUAUGUCCUCCACUCUGGGGUAUACCUUGGGGACAGUGGCUCUUAUCGGAUAUGAGCUUUCCUGCUGCGUGGGGGGGGUUGGAAUUUUUCGGUGGGGGAUGAGCUCGCGGCCUAUCAGCUUGUUGGUGGGGUAAUGGCCUACCAAGGCGUCGACGGGUAGCCGGCCUGAGAGGGUGGUCGGCCACAUUGGGACUGAGAUACGGCCCAGACUCCUACGGGAGGCAGCAGUGGGGAAUAUUGCACAAUGGGCGGAAGCCUUAUGCAGCGACGCCGCGUGGGGGAUGACGGCCUUCGGGUUGUAAACCUCUUUCGACAGGGACGAAGCUUGAGUGACGGUACCUGGAAAAGAAGCACCGGCUAACUACGUG
rnacentral:rRNA from 1 species